UUGACUUCUUUGGCAUCACAUACACUAAAAUUGUAACAACACAGAGGAAAUUGGCAAGGACCUUUUGCAAGUAUGACACAAAUUUGUGAAGUGUUCCAUAUUUCU